GAUGAACGCUGGCGGCGUGCUUAACACAUGCAAGUCGAACGAGAAGUGAAGACGGAAACCUUCGGGCGGAAGGCUUUAUUUCGAGUGGCGGACGGGUGAGUAACGCUUGGGUAACCUGCCUCAUACAGGGGGAUAACAGUUGGAAACGACUGUUAAUACCGCAUAAGACCACAGCACCGCAUGGUGCGGGGGUAAAAACUCCGGUGGUAUGAGAUGGACCCGCGUUCGAUUAGCCAGUUGGCGGGGUAACGGCCCACCAAAGCGACGAUCGAUAGCCGAUCUGAGAGGAUGACCGGCCACAUUGGGACUGAGACACGGCCCAAACUCCUACGGGAGGCAGCAGUGGGGAAUAUUGAACAAUGGGGGAAACCCUGAUGCAGCGACGCCGCGUGAGUGAAGAAGUAUUUCGGUAUGUAAAGCUCUAUCAGCAGGGAAGAAAAUGACGGUACCUGAGUAAGAAGCCCCGGCUAACUACGUG
rnacentral:rRNA from 1 species